GAUGAACGCUGGCGGCGUGCCUAAUACAUGCAAGUCGAGCGAACGGACGAGAAGCUUGCUUCUCUGAUGUUAGCGGCGGACGGGUGAGUAACACGUGGAUAACCUACCUAUAAGACUGGGAUAACUUCGGGAAACCGGAGCUAAUACCGGAUAAUAUUUUGAACCGCAUGGUUCAAAAGUGAAAGACGGUCUUGCUGUCACUUAUAGAUGGUUCCGCGCUGCAUUAGCUAGUUGGUAAGGUAACGGCUUACCAAGGGAACGCUGCAUAGCCGACCUGAGAGGGUGGUCGGCCACACUGUAACUGAGACACGGUCCCGACUCCUCCGGGAGGCAGCAGUAGGGAAUCUUCCGCACUGGGCGCAAGCCUCACGGAGCACCGCCGCGUGAGUGAUGAAGGUCUUCGGAUCGUAAAACUCUGUUAUUAGGGAAGAACAUAUGUGUAAGUAACUGUGUACAUCUUGACGCUACCUAAUCAGAAAGCCACGGCUAACUACGUG
rnacentral:rRNA from 1 species